rnacentral:misc_RNA from 1 species
UUGCAAUUGAUGGCCCUGGACUGAAGA